CGGAGGAUCCAAGCGUUAUCCGGAUUCAUUGGGUUUAAAGGGUGCGUAGGCGGAAUGAUAAGUCAGUGGUGAAAGCCUGCAGCUUAACUGCAGAACUGCCAUUGAUACUGUCAAUCUUGAGUACAUUUGAUGUGGGCGGAAUGUGUCAUGUAGCGGUGAAAUGCUUAGAUAUGACACAGAACACCGAUUGCGAAGGCAGCUCACAAAACUGUAACUGACGCUGAGGCACGAAAGCGUGGGUAUCAAACAGGAUUAGAUACCCUGGUAGUCCACGCUGUAAACUAUGAUCACUCGAUGUUUGCGAUAUACUGUAAGCGUCUAAGCGAAAGCGAUAAGUGAUCCACCUGGGGAGUACGCCGGCAACGGUG
rnacentral:rRNA from 1 species